GACGAACGCUGGCGGCGUGCCUAAUACAUGCAAGUCGAACGAGAGCGACCGGUGCUUGCACUGGUCAAUCUAGUGGCGAACGGGUGAGUAACACGUGGGUAACCUGCCCAUCAGAGGGGGAUAACAUCCGGAAACGGAUGCUAAAACCGCAUAGGUCUUCGAACCGCAUGGUUUGAAGAGGAAAGGAGGCGCAAGCUUCUGCUGAUGGAUGGACCCGCGGUGCAUUAGCUAGUUGGUGAGGUAACGGCUCACCAAGGCCGUGAUGCAUAGCCGACCUGAGAGGGUGAUCGGCCACAUUGGGACUGAGACACGGCCCAAACUCCUACGGGAGGCAGCAGUAGGGAAUCUUCCGCAAUGGACGCAAGUCUGACGGAGCAACGCCGCGUGAGUGAAGAAGGUUUUCGGAUCAUAAAACUCUGUUGUUAGAGAAGAACAAGUGCUAGAGUAACUGUUAGCGCCUUGACGGUAUCUAACCAGAAAGCCACGGCUAACUACGUG
rnacentral:rRNA from 1 species